rnacentral:piRNA from 1 species
UAAAUGUGCAACUCUUGGAGAGCUUCCA